rnacentral:rRNA from 1 species
UACGUAGGGCGCGAGCGUUGUCCGGAAUUAUUGGGCGUAAAGAGCUCGUAGGCGGCGUGUCGCGUCGGAUGUGAAAGCCCGGGGCUUAACUCCGGGUCUGCAUUCGAUACGGGCAUGCUUGAGUGUGGUAGGGGAGAUCGGAAUUCCUGGUGUAGCGGUGAAAUGCGCAGAUAUCAGGAGGAACACCGGUGGCGAAGGCGGAUCUCUGGGCCAUUACUGACGCUGAGGAGCGAAAGCGUGGGGAGCGAACAGG